CCAACGGUUCUUUUCAGAGCCACCCACCGCCUCCGAGAAAGAGCG
rfam:Dipodomys ordii contig_23649, whole genome shotgun sequence.